rnacentral:tRNA from 1 species
CAGGAACAUGGGGCGGUAACCGGCCGUGCUUUUACUGAAGGCGCGGCUGAAUUGCUUGGCUGCAUUGUGAUCGUGUCCGAAUUCCUGC